AUUCUUGUAGUUUAAUAAAAAAUGUAACAUUGAAAAUGUUAAGAUAAAAUCUUCAAGGGUA
rnacentral:tRNA from 1 species